GCAACUCACUGUCUGCAAGGGUGGCUCGUAGCUCCUUCUUUAUUCAGCAAGUGCCAAGUGCAUGUUUAAUCAAUGUCACAGCUCACCACAGUAUGCAACUAAAGCCACUGUCAUUCCUCUCUUCAGAUUUGCCUGGUUGAGUUAUGCAAUGCUCUGAAGAAUACCUUGGAAUUCUUUCCAGAGGCUCUGAAUGCAGGUGUGUGACAGCGUUCACACUACUGCCAGCAAAGCAGACUUCUUUUCAUCCUUUUUCAGGCUGGACUAAAAUUACAUAGUGUGACUGCACGUAGUUCGCUGCAUUUGGAAUUACAGCAUGUCAACGUGAGAAAGCCUCUUCAGACGGCUGCCACAAAGAGUAAAUCAAAGGCUGGGUUUUUCUGAAGUCUUAAUAAAUAACUAAGUAUAACUGAAUAAAACCAGGAGCUGUUUGUAAUUUUUUUUAAGACAAAACAGAAUAGCAUGCAUUUUGUUGCUCUGCAUCAUCGAAGGAAAAAAAGCCACAAUUUUAAUGGGAAUUAGUCAACAGUGAGGAUCAUUAUGAGAAAGAGCUUUACUGUUUUUCGACUACACUUGCUUUAGUGGAUUACUGAAAGAGAACACCAGUCAUUUGGAAGAUUCUGUAACGUUAUUAUCCUCACCGAUAAACUUCAUCAAGAAACUGCUUGUGCUCCUAUCUGAUCUGUCUGAGUGAGGAGAGCAGCCCCUUCAUGAAGAUAAAAGCCUGGCUUGCCACUGAAUCGACGAGUAAGAAGCAUGUCUGAUGACAUUUUAUUCCUGAUGCAAUGUAGGCUAGCUGCCAGAAUACUGGUGAAGGCAUUUGCAGGAAAAAUGGGGACCUCUGCCAUCACAACACUGGAAGAUGUAAAAAGGCAAGAGGAAAAGGAGGAAAAAGAAGAAUCUAUUUUAGCACUGCUUGGAAUCAUUGGAACUGUGCUCAAUUUAUUUGUUAUUGUUUUUGUGUAUAUCUACACUACACUUUGAUGACAUUUUUGAAUAUCAAUUGCACAUCACACAGUGCAAAGACCUGCGAUGGCAAGAAUGAUUUCUAAAUUUAAAGCAAAAAACCUCCACUGUCUGAAAGGAUUAUCAAAUACAUUCCAGAGCAAAGUGUCUGGCUAAGGGUGCUGAUAAAUGUCUCUGUAAGCCCAGUUGGAGUGCUACAUUAUGUAAAUGAAGGCAGACAAUAUUCAACUUGUUGUUGGCAACAGAUGAAAUCCAAAUAGCAGGAUCAGAAAUGGCACUUUUUUACUGCCAGCAAACAUGCAAGAUAGAAAUGUAAGCAAACACUGAAAAUAAUCAGAACAGAGAAAGACAUAAAUUAAAUAUAUAAACAAAUAUAAGCAAGCCCCCAUGAUGCUUUCUGUGGUUUUAUGCAGUAUGUCUCUUCAUAGCUGAGACCAGAAAACAGACAAAAAGGGGUUUAUUUUUAGACCACCAUAAUUUAGGCUUAUAACUUACAUUAAUGUAUGAUAAGUGUGGAAACAGGAACACUGUUGUACCACAAGUUGUAAUACUAUAAAUAAAAUUUUAACUAUUGACUAUAUUCUGCAGCAUUUUUGUUAGUCUUGUGGAAAGCUGAAAAAGGUUAGACUUUCUUGCCUUUACUAAAUCUGUAUUUGAAAUCAUCAUGCUAUACAGACAAUGUGCUUUUCUAAUUAAAAAUCCUUUAAAGUGGUGUGAAAAAAUAAAGAAUAGUUUUAGUACUUCUUUUAAGAAAUAUUAAUAACUAUGACACACUAAUACAUAUUCUCUAAAUGAAAAAAACUUAAAUUACAUUUUCUAUAUUGCCAUUUUUUGAAUGUGCUUAACAGACGUCAAAUACAAUUCUCAUGUUUUCAUCCUGAUGCUUAUUUCCACGUAAGACAUAUCACACAAGGAUUCAAGGUGUCUCAUGGAAAACAGGUUUAAUAACCUUUGUCCAGAAGACUGUACUCUCCCUUUCUGGACGAGGUCCUGAAGACAUUUUCCCUUUUUGCACUGUUUAUGACUGAGGCCCAAAAUUGCAACUUUUACGCAUACUUCAUGGAAUGUCCAAUUUACUACUUGAAAUUGAUGAAAUUAUUUCCACAUUUUAAAUUAAACCUACAUAUGUCUUUGAAUUAGAUCCAAAGCUGCAGAUAGUCUAAGAUCAUAGAAGUUUUCGUAUAUGUGAUUUUAUCUCACAUACAUCCUAUAAGACAAAAGUUACUUUUGAGAGCUUAGGAUUAAAAACACAGUAAAUAAACACCACCAAAAAAAAAACAAACAAACAAACAGCAAAACCAAAACACCAAGAAAUUGAUUUUAAUGAAUACUUUUCCUACUAUUACAUGUGCCACAGUGGAACAAUGGAACAGCUGCAUUUCUAAAAAUCAGCUCAAUUUCUUCUCCUAGGCUGCAAAGUUACAUCCAGUCCCUCCAUAAAACAACAUGCAAAGAAAUACAUCACUUAUAUAGGUGAUAGUUUAUUACUGUAUAGAAUUUCAUAACUGCUAAACCAGCUGAGCCUUUGGAAGUCACUUCGAAACAAGCACAUGAAUAAGAUAAGGUCAGGGAUCUAGAACAGAAUGAAUUUGGCAAUGAUAUUUCAGUCAGCUGCAGAAACCACACUGCAACACUGAUUUAUGGAUGAAUGAGGUAGAAGAUGGUAUAUUCUGGUUUUGCAACUCUGAGUCAAUCCUGGCUCAACCAGAAGAAAUGAUAAACACAGCUGAGGCUGCACUGGAAGGAAGCACGUGCAGACAAGAAAAUUUAUUCACUAUCCAUAGUCUACAGCAAGUCUCUAGUAAUGUAUACUUAUUUUUAGUAUAUGAAGCACCAAAGCAUUCUGUAAAACUAAGCUACAUUCUAGAGAAAUUAUGCAGGUUGCUAAUGUUUAUUUAAUACUACAGAAGAGAUAUAACCAUUAUUAAUUUUUUCUAUGUACUUCUUAUAUCUACAUACUUAUGGAUAUUAUUGCAUUAAUCUCAUAAUACAAGGAUAUUUGAGAUGGGUCUUAAAAUGAAAGGUUACAAGAACCUGAAAACUGAAAUUCAGGUAGAAAUUACUGCUGUUUAUUUUGAUCCUGAAGUUAUUUAAAACUUGUAGAUUCUGUGAAAUAAAUAAACAAUUUUAUUUCAUACCA